rnacentral:rRNA from 1 species
UACGUAGGGUGCAAGCGUUGUCCGGAAUUAUUGGGCGUAAAGAGCUCGUAGGCGGUUUGUCGCGUCUGCUGUGAAAACUCGGGGCUUAACUCCGGGCCUGCAGUGGGUACGGGCAGACUAGAGUGUGGUAGGGGAGACUGGAAUUCCUGGUGUAGCGGUGAAAUGCGCAGAUAUCAGGAGGAACACCGGUGGCGAAGGCGGGUCUCUGGGCCGUAACUGACGCUGAGGAGCGAAAGCGUGGGGAGCGAACAGG